rnacentral:rRNA from 1 species
AAUAGCCUAACGGCUGAACCAGCAACUUGGAGGAAUGUAUAGCAAUAGCUACUUGUACCAACAAAUAGUUGAUACAAGAUCGACUACUGUCGAAUAAAAUUCUAGGUAGAAUUAUGAUAAUGACAUUGUCUGCCUAUGUGUCUUGACCAAAUUACGUGCCAGCUGUCGCGGUAAUACGUAGAAGACUAGUGUUAUUCAUCUUUAAUAGGUUUAAAGGGUACCUAGACAGUAAAUCAAGCCUUUAAAAAGGGACUAAUCUACUAGAGUUACUUGUGAGGGGGUAUUAAAGUACUGCUGGUGUAGAGAUGAAAUUCUGUGAUACCUCUUUUCGAGAGAAAAACAAUGGCACAGGUAUAGGCGAAAGCAUCCCCUUAUGUGAUAACUGACGUUGAAGGACGAAGGCUUUGUGUAGCGAACAGGAUUAGAUACCCUAGUAGUCAAAGCAGAAAAUGAUGAAUGUCAUAGAUUAGACGUAAAGUUUAUUCUAUAA